UGGCUUUAGGUUGUCACCAGAAGGGACACUCUGGAAAGCCACCAAGCUGUGCUUGUGCUUCACACCCUCCAUUUAUGACAGACAACCUGCUUCAGGAUGAGGUAGCCGCAGCCUAUUUGGCCACUGGAAAAUAACAGAAAAAAAAAAUCCUGCAAUGUUGCAUAAAAGCCAUGGCGCACCCAGGCCUGAAGAGUGGUUUGCAAGCUGCUGGGUUUCCUCAGGCGCUGGCAAGGUCAGCUGUUCACUUGGCUCCUUGGAAAUCACCUGAGCUUUGACCAUGGGACUUCCAUAUCCAAAAUAUGGCUAAUCUUGACCCUCUCAUUGCCCAAGUUUAAAUCCAAAUAAAAUUCCCUUCUGUCUGAUCUCA
rnacentral:lncRNA from 1 species